rnacentral:misc_RNA from 1 species
UACGGAGGGUGCGAGCGUUGUCCGGAAUCACUGGGCGUAAAGGGCGCGUAGGCGGCUCUGCAAGUCGGUUGUGAAAUUCCGGGGCUCAACUCCGGGGGUGCAUCCGAGACUGUAUGGCUAGAGCGCGGCAGGGGCGAGCGGAAUUCCCGGUGUAGCGGUGGAAUGCGUAGAUAUCGGGAAGAACACCAGUGGCGAAGGCGGCUCGCUGGGCCGACGCUGACGCUGAGGCGCGAAAGCGUGGGGAGCAAACAGG